rnacentral:rRNA from 1 species
CGGCCACAUUGGGACUGAGACACGGCCCAGACUCCUACGGGAGGCAGCAGUGGGGAAUAUUGCACAAUGGGGGAAACCCUGAUGCAGCGACGCCGCGAGAGUGAUGAAGUAUUUCGGUAUGUAAAGCUCUAUCAGCAGGGAAGAUAAUGACGGUACCUGACUAAGAAGCUCCGGCUAAUACGUGCCAGCAGCCGCGGUAAUACGUAUGGAGCAAGCGUUAUCCGGAUUUACUGGGUGUAAAGGGAGCGCAGACGGCAGGGCAAGUCUGAUGUGAAAGUCCGGGGCUCAACCCCGGGACUGCAUUGGAAACUGUCCGGCUAGAGUGCAGGAGAGGUAAGUGGAAUUCCUAGUGUAGCGGUGAAAUGCGUAGAUAUU